rnacentral:rRNA from 1 species
GACGAACGCUGGCGGCGUGCUUAACACAUGCAAGUCGAACGGAAAGGCCCUGCUUUUGUGGGGUGCUCGAGUGGCGAACGGGUGAGUAACACGUGAGUAACCUGCCCUUGACUUUGGGAUAACUUCAGGAAACUGGGGCUAAUACCGGAUAGGAGCUCCUGCUGCAUGGUGGGGGUUGGAAAGUUUCGGCGGUUGGGGAUGGACUCGCGGCUUAUCAGCUUGUUGGUGGGGUAGUGGCUUACCAAGGGUUUGACGGGUAGCCGGCCUGAGAGGGUGACCGGCGACAUUGGGACUGAGAUACGGCCCAGACUCCUACGGGAGGCAGCAGUGGGGAAUAUUGCACAAUGGGCGGAAGCCUGAUGCAGCAACGCCGCGUGCGGGAUGACGGCCUUCGGGUUGUAAACCGCUUUCGCCGGUGACGAAGCGUGAGUGACGGUAAUGGGUAAAGAAGCACCGGCUAACUACGUG